GGAGGGGAAGACCUAUGGUAGAGCAUCUGUUUUGAACACAGAAGGUCCCAGGUUCGAUCCCUGGCAUCUUCA
rnacentral:tRNA from 1 species